AAGCGAUGAGUCAACAGCUCGUUGUCUCUUGCUCAAACUGUUCUCUGGGCAUCAAUGGUUUUGAACUCUUAGACAAUUUGCGAUGAUCCUUUUUCUCUUCUCGUGCAUCAAUAAUCCCUACCAAUCAUGCGAGUUGCUGUUGGUUUUACUAUCUCUCUUUACUUUUGUUAACUCUGACUGUGAGACUUAAGUGAAAUGAGCAAUUACUACUUAAUUUACGCAAAUUGACAGUGAAAGGGAUUAAGUAAUUUUGUAAUUAAUUACUUUCAACAAGAUAAAUUAUAAU
rnacentral:misc_RNA from 1 species